rnacentral:misc_RNA from 1 species
GAUGAAGAACGUAGCGAAAUGCGAUAAGUAAUGUGAAUUGCAGAAUUCAGUGAAUCAUCGAAUCUUUGAACGCACAUUGCGCCCGCCAGUAUUCUGGCGGGCAUGCCUGUUCGAGCGUCAUUUCAACCAUCAAGCCCCAGGCUUGUGUUGGAGACCUGCGGCUGCCGCAGGCCCUGAAAACCAGUGGCGGGCUCGCUGUCACACCGGGCGUAGUAGAUUUUAUCUCGCUCAGGGCGUGCUGCGGGUUCCGGCCGUUAAAAAGCCUUUUUUACCCAAGGUUGACCUCGGAUCAGGUAGGAAGACCCGCUGAACUUAAGCAUAUCAAUAAGCGGAGGA